AGUGAACGCUGGCGGUAGGCCUAACACAUGCAAGUCGAACGGCAGCACAGUAAGAGCUUGCUCUUACGGGUGGCGAGUGGCGGACGGGUGAGGAAUACAUCGGAAUCUACUUUUUCGUGGGGGAUAACGUAGGAAACUUACUCUAAUACCGCAUACGUCCUACGGGUGAAAGUAGGGGGUCUUCGGACCUUGUGCGAUUUAAUGAGCCGAUGUCGGAUUAGCUAGUUGGCGGGGUAAAGGCCCACCAAGGCGACGAUCCGUAGCUGGUCUGAGAGGAGGAUCAGCCACACUGGAACUGAGACACGGUCCAGACUCCUACGGGAGGCAGCGGUGGGGAAUAUUGGACAAUGGGCGCAAGCCUGAUCCAGCCAUACCGCGUGGGUGAAGAAGGCCUUCGGGUUGUAAAGCCCUUUUGUUGGGAAAGAAAAGCAGCAGGUUAAUACCCCGCUGUUCUGACGGUACCCAAAGAAUAAGCACCGGCUAACUUCGUG
rnacentral:rRNA from 1 species